GUCGAACGGGUGUACGGGGAGGAAGGCUUCGGCCGGAAAACCUGUGCAUGAGUGGCGGACGGGUGAGUAACGCGUGGGCAACCUGGCCUGUACAGGGGGAUAACACUUAGAAAUAGGUGCUAAUACCGCAUAACGGGGGAAGCCGCAUGGCUUUUCCCUGAAAACUCCGGUGGUACAGGAUGGGCCCGCGUCUGAUUAGCCAGUUGGCAGGGUAACGGCCUACCAAAGCGACGAUCAGUAGCCGGCCUGAGAGGGCGGACGGCCACACUGGGACUGAGACACGGCCCAGACUCCUACGGGAGGCAGCAGUGGGGGAUAUUGCACAAUGGGGGGAACCCUGAUGCAGCGACGCCGCGUGGGUGAAGAAGCGCCUCGGCGCGUAAAGCCCUGUCAGCAGGGAAGAAAAUGACGGUACCUGAAGAAGAAGCCCCGGCUAACUACGUGCCAGCAGCCGCGGUAAUACGUAGGGGGCAAGCGUUAUCCGGAUUUACUGGGUGUAAAGGGGGCGCAGACGGCGAUGCAAGCCAGGAGUGAAAGCCCGGGGCCCAACCCCGGGACUGCUCUUGGAACUGCGU
rnacentral:rRNA from 1 species